UAGGGAAUCUUCGGCAAUGGACGAAAGUCUGACCGAGCAACGCCGCGUGAGUGAAGAAGGUUUUCGGAUCGUAAAACUCUGUUGUUAGAGAAGAACAGGGACGUUAGUAACUGAACGUCCCCUGACGGUAUCUAACCAGAAAGCCACGGCUAACUACGUGCCAGCAGCCGCGGUAAUACGUAGGUGGCAAGCGUUGUCCGGAUUUAUUGGGCGUAAAGCGAGCGCAGGCGGUUUCUUAAGUCUGAUGUGAAAGCCCCCGGCUCAACCGGGGAGGGUCAUUGGAAACUGGGAGACUUGAGUGCAGAAGAGGGGAGUGGAAUUCCAUGUGUAGCGGUGAAAUGCGUAGAUAUAUGGAGGAACACCAGUGGCGAAGGCGGCUCUCUGGUCUGUAACUGACGCUGAGGCUCGAAAGCGUGGGGAGCAAACAGG
rnacentral:rRNA from 1 species